rnacentral:rRNA from 1 species
UACGGGGGGGGCAAGCGUUGUUCGGAAUUAUUGGGCGUAAAGCGCGCGCAGGCGGUCCUUUAAGUCUGAUGUGAAAUCCCCAGGCUCAACCUGGGAACUGCGUCCGAUACUGGAUGGCUUGAAUUCGGGAGAGGGAUGCAGAAUUCCAGGUGUAGCGGUGAAAUGCGUAGAUAUCUGGAGGAAUACCGGUGGCGAAGGCGAGUCCCUGGACAACACCUGACACUGAGGCACGAAAGCUAGGGGAGCAAACAGG